ACAGAGUUGACAGAAUAAUGUGAAUAAUUUAGGUUUAUUUUAUAGGAUAUUUAUAUCUUACUUUGUA
rnacentral:tRNA from 1 species